ensembl:ncRNA R07E4.10 ncRNA
GGAAUUUGUAUGGCGAGAUGAUGAGGUUGAUCACAAUAAAGAUGCGGAUGAAGUGCGUACAAAUGAAGCCAAU